rnacentral:rRNA from 1 species
UACAGAGGGUGCAAGCGUUAAUCGGAAUUACUGGGCGUAAAGGGUGCGUAGGUGGUUAAUUAAGUCAGAUGUGAAAUCCCUAGGCUUAACCUGGGAAUUGCAUUUGAAACUGAAUGACUAGAGUAUGGUAGAGGGAAGUGGAAUUUCCGGUGUAGCGGUGAAAUGCGUAGAUAUCGGAAGGAACAUCAGUGGCGAAGGCGACUUCCUGGACCAUUACUGACACUGAGGCACGAAAGCGUGGGGAGCGAACAGG